UACAGAGGGGGCAAGCGUUAUUCGGAAUUAUUGGGCGUAAAGGGCGCGUAGGCGGCCUGGCAAGUGGAAGGUGAAAUCCCUCGGCUUAACCGAGGAACUGCCUCCCAAACUGCUUGGCUCGAGACCAGGAGAGGUGAGUGGAAUUCCCAGUGUAGCGGUGAAAUGCGUAGAUAUUGGGAGGAACACCAGUGGCGAAGGCGGCUCACUGGACUGGUACUGACGCUGAGGCGCGAAAGCGUGGGGAGCAAACAGG
rnacentral:rRNA from 1 species